UACGUAGGUGGCGAGCGUUGUCCGGAUUUACUGGGCGUAAAGAGCGCGCAGGCGGUCGUACAAGUCGCGUGUGAAAGCCCCCGGCUCAACUGGGGAGGGUCACGCGAUACUGUUCGACUCGAAGGCAGGAGAGGGAAGCGGAAUUCCCGGUGUAGUGGUGAAAUGCGUAGAUAUCGGUAGGAACACCAGUGGCGAAGGCGGUUUCCUGGAGCUAACUUGACGCUGAGACGCGAAAGCUGGGGGGAGCAAACGGG
rnacentral:rRNA from 1 species